UGGGGAAUUGUUCGCAAUGGGCGCAAGCCUGACGACGCAACGCCGCGUGGAGGAUGAAGAUCUUCGGGUCGUAAACUCCUUUCGACCGAGAUGAAUUCCCGCCGACCUAACACGUCGGCGGGGUGACAGUCUCGGGAGAAGCAGCCCCGGCUAACUCCGUGCCAGCAGCCGCGGUAAUACGGGGGGGGCAAGCGUUGUUCGGAAUUACUGGGCGUAAAGGGUUCGUAGGCGGCCUGCUAAGUCGAACGUGAAAUCCCCGGGCUCAACCCGGGAACUGCGUCCGAUACUGGCGGGCUUGAAUCCGGGAGAGGGAUGCGGAAUUCCAGGUGUAGCGGUGAAAUGCGUAGAUAUCUGGAGGAACACCGGUGGCGAAGGCGGCAUCCUGGACCGGCAUUGACGCUGAGGCGCGAAAGCCAGGGGAGCAA
rnacentral:rRNA from 1 species